CAUUGUCACUACUACCUGUCGUGUCGUUGUUCUUAAUACUUGUCGUUGUAGCUCUGUCUACUUUUGGUUUCACUCUGCUCAUGUCCUAGUUCCUUCGUGUCACACUGAGCUCCUUCUUUACCACAACGGAUCGAUCACAUCCACAUCACUGCAGACACCGCACCGAUCCGCCUGACGAUCUCACGAUCCACUCUUCCCUCACUCGUGAGCAAGACCCCAAGCAUCCGGAAUUCUUGCCUGGCGGCUGAUACAGGCGCCUUGGACAGAGGCAAUAAAAAAAGAUGAGAGCCCUGCUGUUUUGGAAAUGCUGAAGGCGGGCGGCGGUUGCUCAUCGUUGUGGCGCCAGACAGGAAGCAGCUGCCCUGCUGUGCAGGAAGUGGACAAUAAGGGACAAAGUGGGCUUCAGGCAUCGACGACCAGACAAUAUGUGAGCGUAGGUCAGUGCGGAGACAAUAUAAAUACACUUUACUGCAGUUAACAUGUAACAUUAAGGGAAAAGCGAGAAAUUAGUAGAAUGUACGCAAAAGUAAUACACUUUAAUUAGAAGAGGUACAAUAUAAAUGUGACUUUUCGUUUCAUAAAAUCGUAUGCAACAACCACUAGAAAAUGAUGCAUUUCUUCAGCAUGUUGAUGGACAACUGUUGAAUAAAAACAAA